CCUCGCAUAACUCUUGAAACUCGAUGUAUGAGGUACCAACUAGGAUGAUCGUGCAGCUCUACCAAUAUUGGAGUAUGUCUACCAUAUAAAAUUAAUAUACAAUGUGAUAUAUCUUGUAUAAAUUUUUAAUCCAUACUGAUAAUGUAUAAAAUAAAGAAUAAAUGUAGAUUAUACAUAACCUGUCCUCUCUCAAAAAAUCAGUAGUGUGUAAGCUCGAUCCAUUGAUGAGGGUAUGCAUCGGGAGGACAGGAACAAGCAACCUCCUCCCCUAUUAUAUGCUUCUUCUUAUAAUCCUUCUUUAACUUGGCUUUAUAUUCUUUUUAUUUAUGGUUUAGGGACCUUAUUAUCCAAUCACGGCUUUCGAGAGGGAUUACAAACUUAGUCCAUGAUAAAGUAUAAAAAAAUAUAAAUGUUAGAUCAAAUCAAAUACUAUAAUCUUUAUCUAGUUAACAUAUAGUUGUUAGAAAUUUAUGGAAGAAAUUUUUUUCAUGGUGCAGAAGAUUAGAAUACCAAAAAUAAAUUAUUCA
rnacentral:lncRNA from 1 species